rnacentral:rRNA from 1 species
UGCCAGCCGCCGCGGUAAUACGGAGGGUCCAAGCGUUAUCCGGAUUUAUUGGGUUUAAAGGGUGCGUAGGCGGGAUAUUAAGUCAGUGGUGAAAUCCUUCGGCUCAACCGGAGAACUGCCAUUGAUACUGAUAUCCUUGAGUACAGACGAAGUGGGCGGAAUGUGUCAUGUAGCGGUGAAACGCAUAGAUAUGACACAGAACACCGAUUGCGAAGGCAGCUCACUAGACUGUUACUGACGCUGAGGCACGAAAGCGUGGGGAGCGAACAGGAUUAGAUA